rnacentral:rRNA from 1 species
GAUGAACGCUAGCGGCAGGCUUAACACAUGCAAGUCGAGGGGUAGGUUACUUCGGUAAUUGAGACCGGCGCACGGGUGCGUAACGCGUAUACAAUCUACCUUUUACAGAGGGAUAGCCCAGAGAAAUUUGGAUUAAUACCUCAUAGUAUUUUUGAAUCGCAUGAUUUGAUUAUUAAAGUUCCAACGGUAAAAGAUGAGUAUGCGUCCCAUUAGCUAGAUGGUAAGGUAACGGCUUACCAUGGCUACGAUGGGUAGGGGUCCUGAGAGGGAGAUCCCCCACACUGGUACUGAGACACGGACCAGACUCCUACGGGAGGCAGCAGUGAGGAAUAUUGGACAAUGGGCGCAAGCCUGAUCCAGCCAUGCGCGUGCAGGAAGAAGG